rnacentral:misc_RNA from 1 species
GAGCAUCUAUGAAUGGAUGUUACAACAUUCACGGUAAGAUCACUCUUGGUGCCUUAGCGCCUUCGUGGCCAAAUUGUUUUCUGCCACAAAGGCGGUAAGACGCGAAGGAUUAAUAAUUCACAGAGCAUGCAAAUCUAUUUGCUUCACGAUCUCGUACUUACUUAAAUACCUCUGAUCUUUAGCACACAUAAAUUUGCUCCCAUGUAACCAUAAAUAGAACGAGUUACCUGGUUUCCAUUAAAAGUUUAAACGAAUUCAUUACCGGCCAGU